UGACCCUGAGCUAAUGCAGUACCAGCCACUAAGGGACAUGUCUCAGGAUCUUGAAAAAAUUCUCGAGCAUCUGCACAAUGUAGUGGAGUUUUCAGAAGAUGGGGACUGCUCUAUUUCUAGGGAUGACCUACUGACAGUUUUACACAAACGCAUUGACGAGCCUGAUGUUCUGUACUGGGGCAUGCAGUGUAACAGGGCAAUCCGCAUCGUCUUCCCGUCUGUAAUCAUCAAACGCAAGGGAAAGUUCAAGACUACGGUGUACCAAGGUGUAGAAUUCAAAGACGAAGCCAAAACAGAAAUCCGCCAAUUGCCACUAUCAUUGUCAAACAGGAGAGGGCGACCAAGGAAGAUAAGCUCAGAAGAUUCAGGCGAGUUGUAUCAAAUGGGAAUGAAUUGGACGGAUGCCAUCCGAACAGGGCACAGUGAGACGUACAAAAUGUACACCAACCUCCACAUUCCAAAACUCCCCAACAGUGAGCCCCCUCCAGUGACUCGGGGGUGGGGACCUUCCAUAGCUUAUCAUGAAGCAGACGAUUCACAUAAACUCAAUCAACCCUUAAAUUCUACAAUCAAUAACGAAACUCUCAAAAUGGCAAAACAAUCUCAGUUGAAAACUGAACUCGAUAGAACAGAGAGGGAGGACAAUUCUCUGUCUUGUGACGUCACACUUGAUACUCAUGGCAUUCAAGAUUCUCCAAGAGACUCCAAAAGAAACCACGCCUCCCUAAGUGAAAACGAAGCUGACAGUGAAGAGGAUGUCUCCAGCAAAAAGCCGCCAUUGGUUAGUCGCAGCGAUCGAGAGGAUGGUAUUUGCGACGAAAAUACCGACGAAGAUGCAGACGACGAAGAGAGUAUUGGGCCAGGCAUUGAAGACAAAGAUAUUGAAUGAAGGACAUCGCUGGUCUUCACCGUAUAUUUAUAGACUGAGUGGAGGAUGUUCAUAAUAAGUUAUUGUUGUGAUUUAUUUUUUGUUUGUUUGUUCUUAGUCAUGCAGGAGAUUUAUUGACGCAAAAUUAUUAAAAAGUGCUAUUUUUCUGAUGAAGUCUUUGAGUUAUUUUGACGUCUGUAAAGAAAGGGGUGAACUUUGUGGUAGACAAUUCUUUUGAUUGAUUGCUAUAGUGACACACUGAUGCACACAUUUUUGUUAUAUAAACAGUUUUGUUUAAACGUAUCCAAC
rnacentral:misc_RNA from 1 species